rnacentral:misc_RNA from 1 species
GUAACAUCAAGGAAAGAUCAACAGCAGUAUUGGGCACAUAAAGAUGUGCCUUACAGUUUUAUCACAGUUAAGGAAUUUGCAGAGGCAUUUCAGUCAUUUCAUGUGGGACAAGGACUUUCAGGCGAGCUUUCUACUCCAUUUGACAAAGCCAAGAGCCAUCCAGCUGCUUUGGCAACAAAAAAGUACGGCGUUAGUAAUAUUCAACUGCUGAAAGCUUGCUUCUCAAGAGAGUUAUUGCUCAUGAAGAGGAACUCAUUCGUCUACAUCUUCAAGCUUACCCAAGUUAUUUAGGCAGUAUCUUCUGCUCGUUCUUGUUAGUCAGAUGGCUUCUGCAUUAUUUCGAUUUAUUGCUGCAGCAGGAAGGAACAUGAUUGUAGCAAACACCUUUGGAUCAUUUGCACUUCUUACACUUUUUGCAUUAGGUGGCUUUAUCUUAUCACGAGAUGAUAUAAAGAAAUGGUGGAUAUGGGGUUACUGGAUAUCCCCAUUGAUGUAUGGGCAGAACGCCAUAGUAGUUAACGAGUUCUUUGGAAAGAGUUGGAGUCGAGUUCUUCCAAGCUCGACAGAACCACUGGGAAUUGAAGUUUUGCAGUCCCGAGGAUUCUUCACAAAUGCAUAUUGGUAUUGGAUAGGAGUAGGGGCAUUGGCUGGAUUUACAUUACUAUACAACCUUUGUUUCACUCUAGCUCUCACAUUCCUAGGCCCAUUGCAGAAUCCUCAAGCUGUUAUAUCCGAUGGCUCUCCAAGCAAUGAAUCAGGAAGUGGUCACCAAACUCCUACAGAGAGUUGGAGAGGCAGUUCAUCUGUAAAAGCUGAGGUCAUAGUUAGUGGCAACCAUCAGAACAAAAAAGG